UACGUAGGGUGCAAGCGUUGUCCGGAAUUAUUGGGCGUAAAGAGCUCGUAGGCGGUUUGUCGCGUCUGCUGUGAAAACUCGGGGCUUAACCCCGGGCCUGCAGUGGGUACGGGCAGACUAGAGUGCGGUAGGGGAGACUGGAAUUCCUGGUGUAGCGGUGAAAUGCGCAGAUAUCAGGAAGAACACCCGUGGCGAAAGCGGCUCUCUGGAACGGUACUGACGCUGAGACGCGAAAGCGUGGGGAGCGAACAGG
rnacentral:rRNA from 1 species